rnacentral:tRNA from 1 species
UCCAUAAAUGUAAGAUGUUCUUACAGAUAGUACUUGCAGAUUAAUGAUUUAAUUUUAUUAUUAUUAGAAG